AUAGAUUUAUUGCCAUCAAUAAAUAAUACAUGGCGCGUCAUAUAAUUAUGUACAUGUAAGUGUAUAUGGGACAAUACAUACAUUUAUUUUAAAUCUGGAGGGUUAUCCAGGAACUCUUGGAUAGAAUAAUAACUCAUUUCUAAUAGUGCGUCCUUUACCUUCUUCUCAAACAGAGCCGGAGCUAGUCUCUUCAUCGGGUCCUGAAGCUUGUUAUAAAGCUUCGGGCCCCAAUGGUCAAUGCUGUGCUGUGACACUUUAAGCCGAUGGUACGGUGUUGAGAGCGCGUCAGCGUGUCUUGUGUUAUGCUCGUGAUAUGAGCCAUUCUUGAUGAACUCGUGGAGGUGGUUGUGGACGUACCUCAGACAGCUCAAUAUGUACGCGGAAGGGAUGGUAAGAAUUUGUUGUUGUUUGAAGGCUGGGCGGCAGCUUUCCCGAUAGUUCAUUUGGCACAGGAUUCUGAUUGCUUUCUUUUGCAGGACGAAGAUCUUGUCAGCAUCUGAUGAAGUACCCCAUAGAAGUAUACCAUAGGUGGCUUUGCUGUGGAAGUUAGCAAAGUAUGUCACCCUUGCAGCUUGGGGAGUUGAGAUAUUCUUGAUUCUUCUGAUACUGAAUAAAGCUGAUGCUAGGUUUUUGCAGGUUUCCUGAAUGUGGUCCUUCCAAGAUGCUUUGCUAUUUAGGUAAAAUCCCAAGAAUUUUACCGAUGUGACGUUGGUGGGUUUUGAAGAUAUAAAUAGUUCCUGAGUCUUGUCUCCAUUGAGUUUCAGUUUAUUUGCUGUGAACCAUUCAUUGGCAUCUUCAAGGAUUUUUCUCAUUUUUGGUUUUAGCGUAUCCUCUGUUUCUUCUUUGAUGCAGAAGGAAGUGUCGUCCGCAUAUAGACACUGUCCAUCCACUCUCAUAUUGAUAGGCAAGUCAUUUACAUAGAUUAUAAAUAGCAGUGGACCGAGGAUUGAUCCCUGGGGCACUCCACACCUUGUUGGCAGAGGCUUUGACCAUUUUUCAUUCCAUUUUACUAUCUGGGUUCUAUUUUCAAGGGAAGAAUUUGUCAAAGGCAGCUGUCAGAGUUGUAUGGAAGACAGUGUAGGCCUCUUUUGCAUUACGGUGUUUGAAGACACGAGCCCACUCAAUUCCGGUUAAGUACUCCUUAAAGUAGUUCUUGCACUGGGUUCUUAAUCUUCAGGACUUGACAGUAGUGAUCAGACAUGCACCAACUUUUUGUCUCUUUUGAGAAGAUUUCUUCUAUGUUAAUAUUUGAAAAUAUAUUAUCUAUGCAGCUAGAAGAAGUUUCAGUUGUUCUAGAUGCCUCUCUCAUUAGUGGUUGCAUACCAUAUGUUGUGAAAGUUUCGAUUAAUAAAGAUUGUUCGACGCCA